AGUGCCUGGCAGCACUGUGUUCCUGUUAGAGCCACCAGCACAAGCACCAGACGAUGCUGAUCCAGGUGAAGGCCCCAGUGCAGCAGCACAACAGCACAUGAUGGAGACGAUGAUGAGGAGGAGACCAUCUCUCUGGAUUCCAGAAGGCAUGAGGACCCAGAUGCUAUACAGUGGGAAAACCAGCCUGGCAACAUAGUGCGUAUUAAUAAAAGGACACCACAUCCUGCCAAAUUCCAGCUGCGCUAAUUGUAUUGUGUUCACAGAGCUCACAAGCUAUCAGAAAGUUGUAUGGCAA